rnacentral:lncRNA from 1 species
AACAUCAUGCACAUAUAUUUGAACUGGAUUGGAUCAUUUCAGAAUAAUUAGUUACCUUCAGAAAUAGGGAUGCCAAUUUCAGUAAUCAUAAUCUUGUUUUUUAUUUAGUAAUGAUGUUGCUAACCAAUUUCAUUUAAUCAUGAACCUUUUAUGUCAUAUUUGUACUCCAUGUCCAAAAAUAUCAUACACGAAUACUAGACUAAUCUAAACAGUUGUGGAAUGGAAUAAUCAUCUGGGUUCAGGAUCAUAGAUGCUAUUUUUUUCUUACUAUCUCUUAUCAACUUUAAUGCUCUAGGCUAUGUUGGAAUUAUCACCACAGCUUAAUGAAUCAAAGAAGAUGGAUGGUUAAUCCUUCUACUGCUGUCCUUUUUCGCAGUAGUUAGAACUGUCUCUUCUGAAGAGCCAAAAGAAUCCUUACUGCACACAUCUCUUUUGCAGCAAACUGUUUCAGCUACUAUAUAAUCUGACAACCUUAUUGCACACAUCUCUUUUGCAGGUUGUUCUUCACCUGACAGGUAAAAGGUCUAAAGCAUCCUUUGCAUAUUGUGUGCAAAUCUUCUUUUCAUAUGUUACUGAUUGUUUCAAAUAUUCUGGUAGCAUCUUUAUGUUAGGCAAAGGACCAACGGUUAUAGGAUUCUUCUGUUGUAUGAUGUUUUCCAUCACGAUAUGCAUACCAUCCAAUUAUUUCCAUAAAACAUGCCAAUUUAAUAUUUCCACAAUUGGAUGACACGAUUUUCAUAAAUUGAUGUGUUUAUGGUACAUUCUAGGAGGACUAAAUAGUAAUUUUUUGACUCAAUUGUAUGGUUGAAGUAAGGUAAAAUGAUUGCAAACUGCAUAUGAUUUUAGAACUUAAAUUUACCUAUAUGUUAGUCCAAGUAAAACUCCUGCGACAAUGCUUGCAUACAUUGCCCCACCAGACCCAAUUAUUUGCCUAGCUACUUAAUCCUAUACUGAACUAUUAAUGAGGGAACUCAUGAACAUAAGGCUGCUUCACUGCUCCAAAUAAAGCUCCUACAAAAUGUAGAAGCUGUCCCGCUUCUUUGUGUUUGAAUCUCUUCAGUUGAGUACUGUUGUAUAAUUAGGAUAAACAGGACACAUCCAUCUAAACUGAGCUUUAUCCUAAUUAUAAUUUCAGAGCUAAUUUUUUUGGUUCUCGUUGAUUUGAAUGGCAACCAGGACAAUGUACAUGGCAGCAGUUUUGGGGAGCAUGUGAGUUCACGUCGAUGAUAAUCAAGGUGAGUACUGAUAUGUAAUGUCUAAAGCUUUUGUAUUUAGAAUAAAAUGUUAUAGUCACCUGCAUGAAAACCUCUUGCUGUGAAAUGCCUAUACAAUCCUUUUUGUAUGUUGCAUGGGAACCAUACAAGAUUUGUGCUUAGACACACAUAGAACUUUUGGGAUCAGUGAUAGGCUGUUCGAAUGAUUAGUUCACCAUAAGGAUUUUUGUUAGUUUCAUUAGUCUAUGCUAUUACUGUGUAAGACAUGCUCCAAAAAGCAUAAAUCUUACCACUGAAUUAGGUCUAUUUAGUUGCUGCAUUGCUACAAAGAAAUUAUGAUCAAGCACUGCAAUUUUAUUCUGUGCAAUUACUCAUCUAGAAUACAUUUAAUUGAUGUUAUUGAAUUGCCAAAACUUACCUUCAUUAUCUUUUUCUGUUUAAAUUCUGAAUGUAAUUGCAGGUACACUUUGUGUGGUACAUAUUUUAGCUUCAAUGAAAUUUAGAGAGAAAUGCAGCUUUCAUAUUUUCUUUCUUAUCUGCACUUCUUACCUAGCGAUGAUAUCAAAUCAUUAACUCUGCGAGGACUUAUAUUUGGUAAGGUAUGUGUAUACCUAUAUGCACUGACAAAAAUAGAUGUUUACUUGAGCCCAUCAUUUAUAUGGUAUAUAUGCAGCUUCUCAUCUUAUUCCGACUUCUGCUGCUCUAAAUUCUAUAUGCAACUUCGGUCUCAUCUUUUUCUGACUCUUGAUGCUCUAAAUUCUACAUAGAUUGCUAAUGGGCAUGGAGGGUAUCAUGAGAUUUAUCCAAGUUUCUUACCAAGGGGCAUCACCCUAUUUUGAAUCUGCAAUGCUGCAAACAAAAGCUACAGGGAAUCAAUCUUAGAAGAAAUUCAGAUAAUCAUCUUUUCUCAACUUUGCUACUGCAAUAGGCGAUGAUAGCUCUACCUUCAUAUACAUUGGCUCAUACUGAGCAACUAAGGCCCUACACACGCAUGGAGCCAAUACAAUCUUUUGCUUUCUAUGGGUACAUUAUCACUUACUAUUUGUAAAUAUUGUUGUUUCCACCUUUCAAGAGACAUUGGAUCCAUACCUAUUUUCUUCGUUUUGGUAGAAGAAAUAUCGAUGCCCUCCCACGGUACAGCUCUCUGCAAUAGCUCUUUGGGUUGAUUCCUACAUUUUACAAUUUAUGAUAUGGCCAGGGCACUUUAAAGCCAUUUUUAAUUUGAUGCAACCCCUAGCAAUGCACUUACAAAUGUAGUGCAAUG